UUUUGGGAGACGCGCCGCUCAUCUAUCCUGCCGUUUCCCCUUCCCCACCUCACACUCUCCCGGCGAGGAGCCAAAUCACACACGAAAUCCCUAGCUUCGCCGCGAGCGCGGGCGGCGAGAGGGCCGGUGACGAGUUCAAUUCAACGAGCGCGGCGAUGGCCCGGCGAAGGACCCCGUAGCAGUUCGCCGGGGCGAGGGCGGCGCGCGCGUGCCGUACAAGGAAGAGAAGGUAGCGGUGAAGGGGGGAGAGGGUGGAGCUGGUGGUUCGGCGCGAGGCGGCGACGACCACCCCGAGAGCGAGAUCCUGCUUUGCUUCGACGACCUAGGCAAGGCAACAACAGAAUUUUCUUUUUUCAUCAGCAGCCGUACGACAGAUUUAAAAAAAUGGAGGAUUCCACGGAUGAACAGAAUGGCGAGGGAGCUGCAAGAGUAAUACAAGGCCAUAGGCGUCCUAGGAAGAAGCAAGUUCAGGAAGGUAGAAACAGAGCAUCGCCAGCAAGGCUAGUAAAGUUAAACAAGAGCUUGGACCAACGGCAGAAGGAUCUGAUAGAAACUUACCAUCUGGGAGGCAUACUGAAGAUCGAAGCAACAACAAUGCCCGCAGACCUCAGCAGGUGGGUAAUGCAUAUCUACGACCCAGAUAGCGAGUGCAUCGUAGAAAACAUUAUACAUGCCAAUCGAAGAAAACUCAUGUUGAAAUAUGUAGUAUAUAUCCCUUGUGUAAACUCGCAAGGCUUGCUUCUCGAUUGGGAACAGGGACCAAAGCCUUGGCUCAAGCUCAUCUGUUCGAAUUUUGCAGGUUCACGUACCUUUUUAGGACAGCAUCGAAGCCUUCGCUCGAUUACAAAACAUAAUGGAUACUAGGGAUCAAGCCCUAACAAAACUAACUUGAUUACAAGAUGAAUCUCAUUCAACCCAUCAUCGUCUAGCAAGCCUACGAAGAGAUUACUCAUUCCCGGCGGUGAGCAUCAUGAAAUUGAUGAUGAAGGAUGGUUGAUGAUGACAAAGACGGAAGUUCCUCUUCUUCGGAGCCCCGAACGGAGUCCAGAUGUGGCCUCCCGAUGAAGAACAGGAGGUGCCGGCGGCUUCGUAUCGUAAAACGCGAUGAAACUUUCUCUUCGAUAUUUUUCUCUGAAAAUAGGAAUUAUAUGAUCGAGAUUAGCGUCAGCGGAGCCUCGUAGGCCCCACUACCCAGGAGGGCGGGCCAGAGGGGGUGGCUCGCCCUGGUGCCUAGUGGGCAGCUGCCCCCUUCAGUAUUUUUCAUUUACUCCAAAAUAAUUCUUCAGAAAGUUCCAUCCAAUUUCGAGAACUUUUAUUUCUGUAUAAAAACAACACCAUGGUAGUUCUGCUGAAAA